AUUGAACGUUGGCGGCAUGCCUUACACAUGCAAGUCGAACGGUAACAGGUCUUCGGAUGCUGACGAGUGGCGAACGGGUGAGUAAUGCAUCGGAACGUGCCCAGUAGUGGGGAUAGCCCGGCGAAAGCCGGAUUAAUACCGCAUACGACCUGAGGGUGAAAGGGGGGGAUCGCAAGACCUCUCGCUAUUGGAGCGGCCGAUGUCAGAUUAGCUAGUUGGUGGGGUAAAGGCCUACCAAGGCAACGAUCUGUAGUUGGUCUGAGAGGACGACCAGCCACACUGGGACUGAGACACGGCCCAGACUCCUACGGGAGGCAGCAGUGGGGAAUUUUGGACAAUGGGCGCAAGCCUGAUCCAGCAAUGCCGCGUGCAGGAAGAAGGCCUUCGGGUUGUAAACUGCUUUUGUCAGGGAAGAAAUCUUCUGGGUUAAUACCUCGGGAGGAUGACGGUACCUGAAGAAUAAGCACCGGCUAACUACGUGCCAGCCGCCGCGGUAACAC
rnacentral:rRNA from 1 species